rnacentral:rRNA from 1 species
UACGAGGGAUCCUAGCGUUGUUCGGAAUCAUUGGGCGUAAAGGGUGCGUAGGUGGCAUGGUAAGUCGGAUGUGAAAUCCCGGGGCUCAACCCCGGAACUGCAUUCGAUACUGCUGCGCUAGAGUACUGGAGAGGAGAUUGGAAUUUACGGUGUAGCAGUGAAAUGCGUAGAUAUCGUAAGGAAGACCAGUGGCGAAGGCGGAUCUCUGGACAGUUACUGACACUGAGGCACGAAGGCCAGGGGAGCAAACGGG